rnacentral:lncRNA from 1 species
CUUUAGUUUUUACUUAAUUAUAAUCAUUUUAACCUUUAAUGUUUUUAUGCAGAGAGGAUGACUCCUUUUUUGGUGAUAGAAAAAUAAAGCAUGGAUGGAGAAGGUGAGGGCAAAGAGAGGCGAGGUAGGGGUCACCACAAGUAAAAGUGACCCAUUUAGUUUCCUGACUCAUAUUUAGAAAAUGACGAAACCUAUGGAUGAGAG